rnacentral:rRNA from 1 species
UACGAGGGGGGCGAGCGUUUGUUCGGAAUUAUUGGGCGUAAAGGGUGCGUAGGCGGUUCGGUAAGUCUUGUGUGAAAUCUUCGGGCUCAACUCGAAGUCUGCACGAGAAACUGCCGGGCUUGAGUGUGGGAGAGGUGAGUGGAAUUUCCGGUGUAGCGGUGAAAUGCGUAGAUAUCGGAAGGAACACCUGUGGCGAAAGCGGCUCACUGGACCACAACUGACGCUGAGGCACGAAAGCUAGGGGAGCAAACAGG